UACGUAGGGUGCAAGCGUUGUCCGGAAUUAUUGGGCGUAAAGGGCUCGUAGGCGGUUUGUCGCGUCGGGAGUGAAAACCCAGGGCUUAACUCUGGGCUGGCUUUCGAUACGGGCAGACUAGAGGUAUGCAGGGGAGAACGGAAUUCCUGGUGUAGCGGUGAAAUGCGCAGAUAUCAGGAGGAACACCGGUGGCGAAGGCGGGUCUCUGGGCCGAUACUGACGCUGAGGAGCGAAAGCGUGGGGAGCGAACAGG
rnacentral:rRNA from 1 species